rnacentral:rRNA from 1 species
AGAUCUUGUUACUUUGAGUAAAUUAGAGUGUUCAAAGCAAACAGAUAUAGCAUUGCGCGUUUGAAUACUACAGCAUGGAAUAACAAAAUUGAACAAGUCAGAAUUUUGUUCUUUUUUCUUAUUUUGGCUUAGUUACGAUUAAUAGGAGUAGCUUGGGGGCAUUUGUAUUCAGAUGUCAGAGGUGAAAUUCUUAGAUUUUCUGGAGACAAACAACUGCGAAAGCAUUUGCCUAAAAUACUUCCAUUAAUCAAGAACGAAAGUUAAGGGAGUGAAGACGAUCAGAUACCGUCGUAAUCUUAACCAUAAACUAUGCCGACUAGGCUUUGGAUGAAAGAUUUUAAAAUAAGAGAUUUUCUCUUCGGAGUUAAUCUCUUAGAUUGCUUCCUUCAGUGCCUUAUGAGAAAUCAAAGUCUUUGGGUUCUGGGGCGAGUAUUCGCGCAAGCGAGAAAGUUAAAAGAAUUGACGGAAGGGCACCACCAGGCGUGGAGCUUGCGGCUUAAUUUGACUCAACACGGGAAAACUCACUAGUUUAAGACAAGAGUAGGAUUGACAGAUUAAUAGCUCUUUCUUGAUUUCUUGGAUGGUGAUGCAUGGCCGUUUUUAGUUCGUGAAUAUGAUUUGUCUGGUUAAUUCCGAUAACGAACGAGAUCUUAACCUGCUAAUUAGCGGCAAAUACGAUAUAUUCUUAUGUGGGAUUGA